GUGUGUGUGUGUGUGUGUGUGUGUGUGUGUGUGUGUGUGUGUGUGUGUGUUGAAAAACCCAUGAAACUGAAUAAAAACGGUCCGUUGUCCUCAGCCGACCUAAGCUCAUCUUCUUCCUUCCUCUUCAUCAGUCACAUGACCAGCUCUGCUGGUCCAACCUGUCAGAAGACAGACGGUCCCUGAAGGUCCAGUCAGCUGCUGGGACGUUAGUUUUGAUGAAGAAAAGGGGAAGAAGAMGACUGUGGUCACCUGGGAGUUUGGAACACCUGAUAUUUGGUCCUUACCUGGAUGUGGACGUCUUGGAUGGAGAUGAGGACACCGUCACACCUGGAGGAGGUCUCAUUAAAGACCUGAAGGUGUUCAGGGACCACUGGAUGAUCAGGUGGCAGUAAAACACCUGCCUCAUCAUCAGGUCCAGUGAUGAAGAUCAGCCUCUGAUUGAGUUCAUCCAGUGAAGAAUUACUGAAACUAACAAAACAAGUUAUCUUAACUUCAC